rnacentral:rRNA from 3 species
GGUUGACCUCGGAUCAGGUAGGGAUACCCGCUGAACUUAAGCAUAUCAAUAAGCGGAGGAAAAGAAACCAACAGGGAUUGCCUCAGUAACGGCGAGUGAAGCGGCAAGAGCUCAAAUUUGAAAGCUGGCCCCCUCGGGGUCCGCAUUGUAAUUUGCAGAGGAUGCUUCGGGAGUGGCCCCCAUCUAAGUGCCCUGGAACGGGCCGUCAUAGAGGGUGAGAAUCCCGUCU